rnacentral:rRNA from 1 species
AAAAUAAUUUAUUAUAUUUUUAUAAUUUAAAUAUAUUUUUAUAUAUAAUCUUAUAAAAUUUAAUUUUGGUUUAAAAUUUAUUUAAUUUUUAAUUUAUAUGUAAAUUUUUGUAUUAAUAAAAUUAAAAUUUAAAAUGAUAAUUUUACAGUAAUUAAAUUUAAAAAUUAAUGAAAAUUAGAUUUAGUAAUUAAUUAUAUAAUAAAAUAAAUUUGUGCCAGCAUUUGCGGUUAAACAAAUUAUUUAAAUAAAUUUUAUUAAUAUAAAAUUUAAUUGUUUUAUUUGUUUUAAAAUAUAAUUUUAUAAUAAAAGUGAAAUUUUUUAUUUUUAUUAAUUUAAUUAAAUAAUAAUUGAAUUUUGAAAUUUAAUUUAUAAACUAGGAUUAGAUACCCUAUUAUUUUAAAAGUAAAAUUUAUAUUAAGGGAUUAAUAGUUAUGUUCUUUAAAUUUAAAAAAUUUGGCGGUAUUUUAGUCUAUUUAGAGGAAUCUGUUCUAUAAUUGAUAGUUCACGAUAAAUUUUACUUAAUUUAUUAAUUAAUAUAUCGUCGUUAACAAAAUAUUUUUAUAGAAAAAUAAUUUUUUGAUAAUUAAAUUAAAUUAUAUUUCAGAUCAAGAUGUUGUUUAUAAUUAUGAAGAAAUGGAUUACAAUAAAUUAAUUUAUUUUAAUGAAUAAUUUAUAUAAAUAUAAAUUUGAAGGUGGAUUUAAUAGUAAUUUUUAAUAUAUUUUAAAAAUGAUUUAAGCACUAAAAUAUGUACAUAUCGCCCGUCGCUCUUAUUUAUUAAAUAAGAUAAGUCGUAACAAAGUAGAUGUACUGGAAAGUGUAUCUAGAAUGCA